rnacentral:sRNA from 2 species
ACGACUCACCAUACCUUUGCUAUGAUAUUGCUCUUGUAUAUCAUCACACUUGAAGUUACAGAUUGCGAUCCCUAUACUCCGAAAGUCAACACUUUUCUACAGAAACUCCUAGCUCUAUCCAGUCAAACCGGCUUUGGUCGGGUCCACGUACCCGCUUAACCUUCCAAGAUGUCGGACGACGAUUUUAUGCAGGACUCCGACCAGGAGGAAUAUGACUUUGAGUAUGAGGACGCCGAUGAAGAUGAGGCUGGGGAUGUUGGAAUCGAAAAUAAAUACUACAAUGCAAAGCAGAUUAAAGCGGAUAACCCAGAAGAAGCUAUUAACGAAUUUUCAGAAAUCCCCGCUCUAGAGGAGGAGAAAGGCGACUGGGGAUUUAAAGGCUUAAAGCAAGCGAUAAAACUAGAAUUUAAACUUGGUCGAUAUGAAGAUGCCGUUGAACAUUAUCGCGAACUGCUCACCUACAUUAAAUCCGCCGUCACAAGAAACUACUCCGAGAAAUCGAUCAAUAACAUGCUGGAUUACAUCGAAAAAGGGUCUGAUGACGCAAAGGCGUACCAUUGCAUGGAGAAAUUUUACUCCUUAACGCUGGACUCCUUCCAGAAUACCAACAAUGAACGGCUUUGGCUAAAGACUAAUAUAAAGUUGGCCAGACUCUGGCUUGAUCGCAGAGAGUACGGCCUGCUAAGCAAGAAAGUGAAGGAGCUACAUCGAGCAUGUCAGCGGGAGGAUGGGACGGAUGAUCCAGCUAAGGGGACAUAUUCACUGGAGGUCUAUGCCCUGGAAAUCCAGAAUAAACGGUUAAAAGCACUCUAUCAGAGGGCGCUCACCGUGCGGUCCGCCGUGCCACAUCCGAAAAUCAUGGGAAUAAUUCGCGAAUGUGGGGGAAAAAUGCACUUGAGCGAAGAAAACUGGAAAGAGGCACAGAGUGAUUUCUUCGAAUCGUUUCGGAACUAUGACGAAGCUGGCUCAAUGCAGAGGAUCCAGGUCCUAAAGUACCUUGUUUUGACAACCAUGUUAAUGAAGUCUAAUAUCAACCCCUUCGACUCCCAAGAGACCAAACCAUACAAAUCAGACCCGCGGAUAUCCGCUAUGACUGACCUAGUCGACGCCUUCCAACGCGAUGACAUCCACGCGUACGAAGAAAUCCUUCGCAAUAACCCGGACGUCCUCUCAGACCCCUUUAUAGCCGAGAACAUCGACGAAGUGAGUCGUAACAUGCGCACCAAAGCCGUCCUCAAAUUGAUAGCCCCUUAUACUCGCUUCAGCCUCGCCUUCAUCUCCAAACAAAUCAAGAUAUCCCUCCCCGAAGUCCAGGAUAUCCUCAGCUUCCUAAUUCUUGAUCAGAAGAUCCCAGAUGCGACGAUUGACCAGGAAACUGGCGCCGUCGUCAUCAAUAGGGCUGACGACCAUGAACGACUGCAAGCUCUGGGGACCUGGACAUCUCAACUAAACUCGUUGUGGCGGAGUGUUUUGACCAAUGCGGACGGGUUUAGAAUCGAGGAUAGUGCUCGUAUCCACGCGACUUUGGUGAAUACCGACGGGGGUUAUGG